GCUGCCCGGGCACCCGCGGGAGGCGUAGGGACAGCAGGAGGAGAAAGCGAGUCUUCUAGUGCGGCCGCCGCGCCGCUGAAGGCCAGCGAUGACCACACACCGCCACCCCUCUGCUACACUUUCCCCUUCCACAAAAGCUAACGCAAAAUUAGUUCCUGCCCGUCUCUGGUCACCCCUUCGCCCACCGUGAAAGCGUUGGUGCACGCUCGCUCGAGGGGUUUCAGUCGAAUGACUGAAAUGUCAGUCUAAUGACGGCUCCCUGCCGCCGCAGCAGCAGCUCACACACCGGAGCCCAGCACGGACACCCGCUCGGGACUCACCUGCGCCUCAGCCAAAAACCAGAGGGAAAGAAAGGUACAAAGAUUAUGCCCCAUGUUUUGAGAAAAUAAAUGCAUUUGCAACCUUUGGCUAGAAUAAAAACACUAGCUAAAACAA